GGCAGACUCUUAUCUAAUAGUGUUCUGUUAGAUUCUAUUUUGGGGACAUUGUCCCAAGAAAACUUGUGAACUAUGGGCUUGGUAGUGCAUGGAUGCUGCGAGGGAAAAGAGGUUUUGAUUUGUUGGAUGAUCCCACGGGUUAUAUGCCAAAAGGCAGAAAAGAACCAAAGAGUUCUCACAGUAUUAAGACAAGACAAUAGAGCUAAUAGACCAACUAUGGGUUUGGUAGUGCAUGCAUGUUGCGAGUUGGAAAAGAGUUAAUAGACCAAUGCCUGAAUGAAGUCUAGCCAACUAUUAAGACAAGACAAUAGAGCUAAUAGACCAACUAUGGGUUUGGUAGUGCAUGGAUGCUGCGAGGGAAAAGAGGUUUCGAUUUGUUGGAUGAUCCCACGGGUUAUAUGCCAAAAGGCAGAAAAGAACCAAAGAGUUCUCACAGUAUUAAGACAAGACAAUAGAGCUAAUAGACCAACUAUGGGUUUGGUGGUGCAUGCAUGUUGCGAGUUGGAAAAAAGCUAAUAGACCAAUGGCUGAAUGAAGUCUAGCCAAGUAUUAAGACAAGACAAUAGAGUUAUGAGACCAACGGCUUAAAAAAGCUGUAAGACAUAGAUAUUUAAAAAAAUAUAUGCAGGCUGUUUAGACUUGAGACUUGUUGGAUGGUAAAACCGACCAGCAGAUUAAAGAAGUUUUAGCUCAACGACUUUAAAAAGUUGUCUGUGUUUCUGAAGAUGUUCAUAUUGUGAAGAUUUUGGGUAUAUUUCAAGUGUAGCAAACUUCUUUGGCAGGUGAAUAUUGUGGCUGCUUUUGCGAGGAUAAAUGUGGAGGAUUCCAUGAAGCUUUUGUCUCCAUCCUUCUCCGAGCGUCAGAAGUU